rnacentral:rRNA from 1 species
GUGGGGAAUAUUGGGCAAUGGGGGAAACCCUGACCCAGCGACGCCGCGUGAGGGAAGAAGGCCUUAGGGUCGUAAACCUCUGUUGUGUGGGAAGAAGAGCGUGACGGUACCACACGAGGAAGUCCCGGCUAACUACGUGCCAGCAGCCGCGGUAAUACGUAGGGGACGAGCGUUGUCCGGAUUUACUGGGCGUAAAGGGCGCUUAGGCGGUAAUUUAAGUCAGCUGUGAAAUGGUUUGGCUUAACCGGAUCAUGCGGUUGAAACUGGAGGACUGGAGUGCUGGAGAGGCAAGUGGAAUUCCCAGUGUAGCGGUGAAAUGCGUAGAUAUUGGGAAGAACACCGGUGGCGAAGGCGACUUGCUGGCCAGCAACUGACGCUGAGGCGCGAAAGCCAGGGGAGCAAACGGGAUUAGAUACCCGAGUAGUCC